GCGGUAUCGUAUAUAUCGUGCUCGUCUCGGGAUACCUCGUGUACGUUGUGCCUAAUAAGAACCUGCCUGCGCCUCUGCUGCUGUCAUGUGACCAGCAACCUGUAGCUACCUACCUGCUGGCUGGCUGUGUGACCUAUAGCUAGCUAGCUAGCUAGCUUAGCUCCAGGGCUCUGUUAUGUGCAAUGAAAUCUACUGUGUGGUUUGACUACUAAAAAGUAAAUUGAGCGUCGGCUAAUCAGUCUAACGGUUACUUUUCAUGUACAACUAAAACUCUGAAGCUAAUAAAAUUCACUGAUGUAACAGGCAGUAGCUAACUCCGGUACACCAGAUGUUAUACUGAUACGUGUGAGCUU
rnacentral:lncRNA from 1 species